rnacentral:rRNA from 1 species
GAAUGCUGACAUAAGUAACGAUAAAGCGGGUGAAAAGCCCGCUCGCCGGAAGACCAAGGGUUCCUGUCCAACGUUAAUCGGGGCAGGGUGAGUCGACCCCUAAGGCGAGGCCGAAAGGCGUAGUCGAUGGGAAACGGGUUAAUAUUCCCGUACUUGGUGUUACUGCGAAGGGGGGACGGAGAAGGCUAUGUUGGCCGGGCGACGGUUGUCCCGGUUUAAGCGUGUAGGUGUGUGUUCCAGGUAAAUCCGGUUCACUUUAACACUGAGGCGUGAUGACGAGGCACUACGGUGCUGAAGCAACAAAUGCCCUGCUUCCAGGAAAAGCCUCUAAGCAUCAGGUAACACGAAAUCGUACCCCAAACCGACACAGGUGGUCAGGUAGAGAAUACCAAGGCGCUUGAGAGAACUCGGGUGAAGGAACUAGGCAAAAUGGUGCCGUAACUUCGGGAGAAGGCACGCUGACACGUAGGUGAAGUGAUUUACUCAUGGAGCUGAAGUCAGUCGAAGAUACCAGCUGGCUGCAACUGUUUAUUAAAAACACAGCACUGUGCAAACACGAAAGUGGACGUAUACGGUGUGACGCCUGCCCGGUGCCGGAAGGUUAAUUGAUGGGGUCAGCGCAAGCGAAGCUCCUGAUCGAAGCCCCGGUAAACGGCGGCCGUAACUAUAACGGUCCUAAGGUAGCGAAAUUCCUUGUCGGGUAAGUUCCGACCUGCACGAAUGGCGUAAUGAUGGCCAGGCUGUCUCCACCCGAGACUCAGUGAAAUUGAACUCGCUGUGAAGAUGCAGUGUACCCGCGGCAAGACGGAAAGACCCCGUGAACCUUUACUAUAGCUUGACACUGAACAUUGAGCCUUGAUGUGUAGGAUAGGUGGGAGGCUUUGAAGUGUGGACGCCAGUCUGCAUGGAGCCGACCUUGAAAUACCACCCUUUAAUGUUUGAUGUUCUAACGUGGACCCGUAAUCCGGGUUGCGGACAGUGUCUGGUGGGUAGUUUGACUGGGGCGGUCUCCUCCUAAAGAGUAACGGAGGAGCACGAAGGUUGGCUAAUCCUGGUCGGACAUCAGGAGGUUAGUGCAAUGGCAUAAGCCAGCUUGACUGCGAGCGUGACGGCGCGAGCAGGUGCGAAAGCAGGUCAUAGUGAUCCGGUGGUUCUGAAUGGAAGGGCCAUCGCUCAACGGAUAAAAGGUACUCCGGGGAUAACAGGCUGAUACCGCCCAAGAGUUCAUAUCGACGGCGGUGUUUGGCACCUCGAUGUCGGCUCAUCACAUCCUGGGGCUGAAGUAGGUCCCAAGGGUAUGGCUGUUCGCCAUUUAAAGUGGUACGCGAGCUGGGUUUAGAACGUCGUGAGACAGUUCGGUCCCUAUCUGCCGUGGGCGCUGGAGAACUGAGGGGGGCUGCUCCUAGUACGAGAGGACCGGAGUGGACGCAUCACUGGUGUUCGGGUUGUCAUGCCAAUGGCACUGCCCGGUAGCUAAAUGCGGAAGAGAUAAGUGCUGAAAGCAUCUAAGCACGAAACUUGCCCCGAGAUGAGUUCUCCCUGAGACUUAGAGUCUCCUGAAGGAACGUUGAAGACGACGACGUUGAUAGGCCGGGUGUGUAAGCGCAGCGAUGCGUUGAGCUAACCGGUACUAAUGAACCGUGAGGCUUAACCUUACAACGCCGAAG